GCACCUUCCGAUACGGCUACCUUGUUACGACUUCACCCCAGUCAUGAAGCUCACCGUGGUAAGCGCCCUCCUUGCGGUUAAGCUACCUACUUCUGGUAAACCCCACUCCCAUGGUGUGACGGGCGGUGUGUACAAGACCCGGGAACGUAUUCACCGCAGCAUGCUGAUCUGCGAUUACUAGCAAUUCCAGCUUCAUGGAGUCGAGUUUCAGACUCCAAUCCGAACUGAGACCACUUUUUAGGGAUUAGCUCCACCUCGCGGUAUUGCAGCCCUUUGUAGUGGCCAUUGUAGCACGUGUGUGGCCCUAGGCGUAAGAGCCAUGCGGACUUGACGUCAUCCCCACCUUCCUCACUACUUGCGUAGGCAGUCUUUCUAGAGUGCUCGGCA
rnacentral:rRNA from 1 species